AACGAACGCUGGCGGCAUGCCUAACACAUGCAAGUCGAACGAAGGCUUCGGCCUUAGUGGCGCACGGGUGCGUAACGCGUGGGAAUCUGCCCUUGGGUUCGGAAUAACUCAGAGAAAUUUGAGCUAAUACCGGAUGAUGACGUAAGUCCAAAGAUUUAUCGCCCAAGGAUGAGCCCGCGUAAGAUUAGCUAGUUGGUGGGGUAAAGGCCUACCAAGGCGACGAUCUUUAGCUGGUCUGAGAGGAUGAUCAGCCACACUGGGACUGAGACACGGCCCAGACUCCUACGGGAGGCAGCAGUGGGGAAUAUUGGUCAAUGGAGGCAACUCUGAACCAGCCAUGCCGCGUGGAGGAUGAAGGUCCUCUGGAUUGUAAACUUCUUUUAGACGGGACAAAACCCCUUUACGUGUAAAGGGUUGAUGGUACUGUCAGAAUAAGCAUCGGCUAACUUCGUGCCAGCAGCCGCGGUAAGUCUCGCGUGA
rnacentral:rRNA from 1 species